GCCAGGCGUGUUGGCGGGCGCCUGUAGUCCCAGCUACUUGGGAGGCUGAGGCAGGAGAAUGGCAUGAACCCGGGAGGCGGAGCUUGCAGUGAGCUGAGAUUGUGCCACUGCACUCCAACCUGGGGGACACAGCGAGACUCCGUCUCACACACACACACACAUGAAAAGGUAAGAUUAUUAUUAUUUGUGUGUGUGUGUGAGAUGGAGUCUUGCUCUGUCGCCCAGGCUGGAGUGCAGUGGCACAAUCUCGGCUCACUGCAACCUCUGCUUCCCGGGUUCAAGCAAUUAUCUGCCUCA
rnacentral:SRP_RNA from 1 species